AUGGAGAAUAGAUAUACGGCUCUUGAUGACAAAGUUGGAUGGGUUACAAGGAACAGGAAGGUGGCAAUGCCAGACGAGAGAGCAACAAGUGCUAAAAGGGUGACAGCCCUGGAAACAGCACUCACAGGAUUUGCCGAAAGAAAAAAAGACACGGUGGUGACACCAUCGGUUGGGCUGACUUUUGACUCUAUAAUCGAGGCCUACGAUUUUUACAAUCUUUAUUCCUGGGAGACAGGGUUUGGCAUCAGAUAUGCAAAGAGCAGAACCAAUGUCAAAGGAACGAGAUGCAUGCAGGAGUUUGUGUGCUGCUGCUCGGGCAAGCCAAAAGAGGCGAACUCAACAUCAUCACGGUGUCAAUGCCAAGCCAUGAUAAGACUCUUGCGUAUAGAUGACAAUGGCUGGUACAUCAACGAAUUCAGGUCCAGCCACAAUCACUCGAUGUUGAACACAUGUGCUGAGAAACUCCACUUCCCUUCACAUAGGCAUAUUGACAAAUAUACGAGAGAGCUAGUAUCUCAGCUUAGAGAGAAUAAUGUGAACCUGAGCAAAGUUUACAGCAUUCUUGCAACUUUUUUUGGAAGGGUAGAAAACGUUCCGUUCACCAAAAGAUGCUUGAGGACACUGUGUGGGAAGCUGAGUAGGGAGCAGGCGGACGAUGAUGUACAGAAGACUAUGGCCAUCUUUUCAGAAUUGAAAGUCCAAGACGGCGAGUUUACUUACAAUGUGUAG
rnacentral:rRNA from 1 species